rnacentral:rRNA from 1 species
UCCGUAGGUGAACCUGCGGAAGGAUCAUUAGUGAUUGCCUUUACAGGCUUAAACUAUAUCCACUUACACCUGUGAACUGUUCUACCACUUGACGCAAGUCGAGUGCUUUUACAAACAAUGUGUAAUGAACGUCGUUUUAUUAUAACAAAAUAAAACUUUCAACAACGGAUCUCUUGGCUCUCGCAUCGAUGAAGAACGCAGCGAAUUGCGAUAAGUAAUGUGAAUUGCAGAAUUCAGUGAAUCAUCGAAUCUUUGAACGCAGCUUGCGCUCUCUGGUAUUCCGGAGAGCAUGCCUGUUUCAGUGUCAUGAAAUCUCAACCACUAGGGUUUCCUAAUGGAUUGGAUUUGGGCGUCUUGCGAUCUCUGAUCGCUCGCCUUAAAAGAGUUAGCAAGUUUGACAUUCAUGUCUGGUGUAAUAAGUUUCACUGGGUCCAUGGUGUUGAAGCGUGCUUCUAAUCGUCCGCAAGGACAAUUACUUUGACUCUGGCCUGAAAUCAGGUAGGACUACCCGCUGAACUUAAGCAUAUCAAUAAGCGGAGGAAAAG